GUCUACAGCCAUACCACUCUGAACACGCCCAAUCUCUUCUGAUCUCGAAAGCAAGCAUGGGUGGGCCUGGUUAGUACCUGGAUGGGAGAAAGGGCAGCCUGGAAAGGUGGUGCCAUAUAAA
ensembl:rRNA 5S_rRNA 5S ribosomal RNA